GCGCCUGUAGUUCAAUGGAUAGAACGCUGGCCUCCGAAGCCGGUGAUCUGGGUUCGACUCCCGGCAGGCGCACCA
rnacentral:tRNA from 1 species